rnacentral:rRNA from 1 species
UACGGAGGGGGCGAGCGUUGUCCGAAGUUACUGGGCGUAAAGCGCGCGUAGGUGGGAGCACAAGUCCGCUGUGAAAGCCCGAGGCUCAACCUCGGAGGGUCGGUGGAUACUGUGCUUCUUGAAGGUGCUAGGGGAAGAUGGAAUUACCGGUGUAGCGGUGAAAUGCGCAGAUAUCGGGAGGAACACCAGUGGCGAAGGCGGAACUCUGGGCCGGAACUGACGCUGAGGAGCGAAAGCGUGGGGAGCGAACAGG